UACGUGGGGUCCGAGCGUUGUCCGGAAUUAUUGGGCGUAAAGGGCUCGUAGGCGGUUUGUCACGUCGGGAGUGAAAACUCAGGGCUCAACCCUGAGCGUGCUUCCGAUACGGGCAGACUAGAGGUAUGCAGGGGAGAACGGAAUUCCUGGUGUAGCGGUGGAAUGCGCAGAUAUCUGGAGGAACACCGGUGGCGAAGGCGGCAUCCUGGACCAAUACUGACACUGAGGAGCGAAAGCCAGGGGAGCAAACGGG
rnacentral:rRNA from 1 species